rnacentral:rRNA from 1 species
GUGAACGCUGGCGGUAGGCCUAACACAUGCAAGUCGAACGGCAGCACAGAGGAGCUUGCUCCUUGGGUGGCGAGUGGCGGACGGGUGAGGAAUACAUCGGAAUCUACUCUUUCGUGGGGGAUAACGUAGGGAAACUUACGCUAAUACCGCAUACGACCUUCGGGUGAAAGCAGGGGAUCGCAAGACCUUGCGCGAUUAAAUGAGCCGAUGUCGGAUUAGCUAGUUGGCGGGGUAACGGCCCACCAAGGCGACGAUCCGUAGCUGGUCUGAGAGGAUGAUCAGCCACACUGGAACUGAGACACGGUCCAGACUCCUACGGGAGGCAGCAGUGGGGAAUAUUGGACAAUGGGCGCAAGCCUGAUCCAGCCAUACCGCGUGGGUGAAGAAGGCCUUCGGGUUGUAAAGCCCUUUUGUUGGGAAAGAAAAGCACACGGUUAAUACCCGAGUGUUCUGACGGUACCCAAAGAAUAAGCACCGGCUAACUUCGUGCCAGCCGCCGCGGUAA